rnacentral:rRNA from 1 species
AGAAUCAACGCUGGCGGCGUGCCUAACACAUGCAGGUCGAACGAGAAAGUGGAGCAAUCCAUUAGUAAAGUGGCGCACGGGUGAGUAACACGUGACUAACCUACCUUUUAGUGGGGGAUAACCUAGGGAAACCUGGGCUAAUACCGCAUAAUACCUACGGGUCAAAGCAGCAAUGCGCUGAAAGAGGGGGUCGCGGUCGAUUAGUUAGUUGGCAGGGUAAUGGCCUACCAAGACUGUGAUCGAUA